rnacentral:rRNA from 1 species
CAUGCCGGGGGCCGCGGUAAUACGGAGGAUCCGAGCGUUAUCCGGAUUUAUUGGGUUUAAAGGGUGCGUAGGUGGCUUUUUAAGUCAAGGGUGAAAGACGGUAGCUUAACUAUCGCAGUGCCUUUGAUACUAAAGAGCUUGAAUGGACUGUAGGUAGGCGGAAUGUGACAAGUAGCGGUGAAAUGCAUAGAUAUGUCACAGAACACCAAUUGCGAAGGCAGCUUACUAUGGUUUUAUUGACGCUGAGGCACGAAAGCGUGGGGAUCAAACAGGAUUAGAUACCCUGGUAGUCCACGCCCUAAACGAUGAAUACUCGAUGUUAGCGAUAUACAGUUAGCGUCAAAGCGAAAGCGUUAAGUAUUCCACCUGGGGAGUACGCCCGCAAGGGUGAAACUCAAAGGAAUUGACGGA